UCAGCUUAUGGAAGUUCCCAGGCUAGGGGUUGAAUUGGAGCUGCAGCUGCCAGACUCACCCACAGCCACAGCAAUGCCAGAUCUGAGCUGAGUCUGUGACCUACACGACAGCUCACGACAAUGCUGAAUCCUUAUUAACCCACUGAGCGAGGCCAGGGAUGGAACCUUACUAAUGAAGUGAUGUAAGUUAUAUGUUUUACAAGCAGAUGCUGAGGAAUGAGUAAUUUAAGAGACUUGUGAUUGCUCUUUUUACCUUUCGCCUUUCUUCCCCAGGGCAUACUUUUAGCAUGGGAACUUGUAUUUCAUUAGAAGGAAGCAAGCCCAGUUAUUCAUAAACAACUGUAAGAACCAUCCAAAUAUUCUGCAGCAUUUAUAAUACAGACCUAAUAGAGCAUUAGCAUUUAUGUGAAAGCAGUUGGAUCACCGAAUCUUCCUUUGACUCAUUAGUUAGGAUGACAAGAGAGUCGUGCCCCACCCCCAGUAUAGAUCAGGAGAGAGUUUAAGUUACGAACUUAUUUGGAUGAAUUCUUAACUAUAGCAUUGUACUAUUUUUAUUUAGGGAUGUAGUGUUAGUUGAAAUGGUUAGGAAAGAAAUCUGCUAAUUUAUUCAUUUGUCCUUUUAAUAGUUAGUGAGACCCCGGUGUGUGCCAGUCAUGGCCAGUGCUGUUUUAUGUGACCUGCAGUUCUUGAAGCCGUUGAAUUUCAUUAGUGGAGGGAUAGAGACAUGUUGGGAGGAGCUUUGAUGGCUAAGUAGGAGCCUAGUGGGUAAGUUAGUGCAGAGUUGUGAGGAGAUGUCGCAAAAAGUCCCAUGGAAUGAAUGGUGUCUGAAGCUUUGUGGAGUGUAUGGACUGGCCUUGGUCCCUUUUGUCUGUAGAAUUAUACUGCAGGCAGUUCAGGCAGUGGGACUGAGUGGUAGACUUAUUUUCCUACAUAGGCCACUUACAGUGGUAUGAAUUUGGACUUUUUAUUUAGUUAGCCAUCUCUAAGGCUUUCUGAGUCAGUCCAAAUUCAAUUGUCAAUAAAUAAAUCAGUUAUAUAUCUUACUGAUAAUAGAGGUUAUGCCAUUCUUUGAUGUGGCAGCAUUACUAGGACAUAUAAAGCAAACCUAUUUGUGUCAAGCAGCAAAAUAUUUAAGUAUAGUUACUAGGAUUGUUACGGUCUCCUAUUGGGUAACACUCCUUUUAAAGAUAUUCAUGGCUUGUGAGUGUUUUUAGAGAUGCUCAUAGGAUGUAUGGUAGGAGCUGUGAUUCCCUUGUGAGUUGGCCUUAGAAUGUGAUUGUUUAAUAGAAUUAGUCCAAGCUUAGAUUUGUAUUUUUGUUCUUUUUUUUCCUUUGCUUUUCAAAACCAUUGUGUAUUACUCCAGUACCAGUUUCUUUUGGCUUGGGAAAGGAAAGGCUGAUACCAGUGCAGGCAGAAUUCAAGUUGCAUGGCUAAUGAAGUGGGAGACCUGAACCUGUGAUGUCUUAGCUUUCUGUGUAACUUGGUUCUCUUUAUCUUUUUAUUGACCAUAUACAAAAGUGGUGUUUCUGCCCUCCUCUUAUUCUUGUUGGGGGUUGGUUUUUCUAAACAUGGCUUUAGUUGGUAUGUACUAAUUAGGAAUUCAUUCCCCUAAUUGUGUCCUUGGAGGCAGCUAAGGUCAUUGGUUAGCAGAAACAAAGUAUUGAGUAGUGGAGUCUGCAAAGAAUAAACCUAAGUACUUCGUAAAAGGGGCUUUAUUUUUUUUUAAGACAGCAGAUUAAAAAUAUCAGCCUUUUUUGGAUUGGUUUGUACAUUUUAUGUAAGACUUUAGUCUCAGUUGGAUUACAGAUGGUUUACAGUUAUAUUCAACACACAACAGUUGGGAAUGAAUGCCAAAGUCUGUUUUGGAAUCUUGCUUAAAGUAUUCUGUGUGCUGAAAAUUAAAAUGAAACGCUUCUGCUUUUAUUUUACUUGGACACUUGGAAGAAAAAAAACCUAUGAAAACUUUGGAUAAGAUGGAUGAAAUUUGGCAAGAGAAUCUGAAUAAUUGGAUUUUUUAAAUGGCAUUGUUGCAGGAAAAAAUAUACAAAUUUACCUUAAAGUCCACUUUAAGAAGGACUUCUGUUCUUGAAGCAUGUAUAUUGGAGCUUUUGUCAAGUUGGAGGUAAUAUGGCUAAAUAGAUAAACUUGAAAAGGGUCAGUGAUUCUGUUCUUUACCCCUGUGUGCCAUUAUGGGAUAAGAAGUGACCUUUAUUUGAUGGAAAAGGAGGGAAGAACCAAGAAGAAUUCUGUCUGAUGGGGUAGAGGAGUUGCCGCAGGGGUGGCAGAGGACUACCAGCAUUAAUAUCAGAGUUAAACAUUGAUUAAAUGACUCAGAAGAAAGUACAGUUGCCACCAUGUAAAACCUUAUCAAGUGUGUCAUGAACUAGAUCUAUAGGAAGGGAGGUUGGUGGGAUUGUAGCUAUCAUAUUCUUUACUAUUUUUAUACUUUUUAUUUUAAGAAAGUAGUGAGCAGUCUGGUAAGCAUGAAUUAAUGAUCCUUGUGGGCAAUGAAAAUAUCUACGUUGGGGAGUUCCCUACAUGCCUCAGUGGUAACGAACUUGACUGGUAUUCAUGAGGACACUGGUUUAGUCCCUGGCCUCACUCAGUUUAAGGAUCCGGUGUUGCCGUAGGCUCUGGUGUAGGUUGCAGAUGUGGCUUGGAUCCUGCGUUGCCGUGGUAUAGGCUAGCAGCUGCAGCUCCAGUUGGACCCCUGCCUAGCCUAGGAACUUCCAUAUGCUAUGAGUGUGGCUCUAAAAAAGAUUAAAAAAAAAAAAAGAAAAUAUCUACUUUGGGAGAGGGAUAAAGCUGUAAUAUUUGGAAGAAAAACUGAGAUUGAUUGGAUAGAUUUAGGUCAAAACACUUAAUUGGAAGAAAUAGAACUAGGGUAGGAAAUACCAGAACCUUGAUAGAAACCACUCUUUCAGAUUGUGUUUUCAUUUUGGAGAACAACCUUCACCUUUGCAUUUUGGCUCAGGUCUAGGAAUGCAUGAAGAACAAACCUUUUUUAAAUUAAAAAAAAUUUUUUUUUUCCUUUUUAUGGCUGCAUGUGCAGCAUAUGGGAGUUCCCAGGCUAGGGGUCGAAUCAGAGCUGCAGCUACAGAUUAAAAUUAACAUUUAAUUAAAAAGUAAUAGCUUAGUAGGAAAAAAGUGGGGAAGGUUUUUUUUUGUUUGUUUGUUUCUUUUUUGUCUGCCUUGCAGCAUAUGGAGUUAUUGGGCCAGGGCUCAGAUCUGAGCCUCAGUUGCAGCUAUGCCACAGCUGUAGCAGCACCGGGUACUUUAAACUACUAUGCCGGGCCAGGCAUCGAACCUGCAUCCUGGCGCUGCAGAGACUCUGCGAUCCCAUUGUGCCACAGUGGAAUCUCUGGAAAGGUUUGUAAUAGGUAUUUCAUAAAAGUAAAAAGCAAGCAAAUUAUAAAACAAAAUAAAUAAUGUAACAUUUAAAUCUUAAUAAAAAGCUGUACAUAGAAACAUACUACCAUUUUUAAACUCUAGUACUUCUGACAUUUAGAGUUAACUAACAAUGCUAAUAAUACCUAUCUUUUUAGGAUGCAGAGAAUGUGAACCUACUUAAAUCCUUGUGACAGUUAAAAUAACUACAACCUGUGUGACCUUUCAAAAACUUGAAUUUUUACUGUUCUUGACUUCUUAAUUUAAUUCUAAGAUUUCAUCUUAAAACUAUAACAAGAAAUUAUAAUUAAAAUACAUAUGUAAACAGAAAUGUUGAUCACAAAGUUAUAUAAAAAUGAAAUAGUGAGAACCCAAAUUACCAAAAACAAGAGAAAUAAAAGCUAUUUUAAGAGAGCAAUGAAAUGAAAUAUAAUCGUGCAGACAUUAAAAAUUUAUUGUUAUUGGAGUUUGCAUCAUGGCUCAGAGUUAUGAACCUGACUAGUAUCCAUGAGGAUGUGGGUUUGAUCCCUGGCCUCACUCAGUGGGUUAAGGAUCAGGCAUUGCUGUAAACUGAGGUGUAAGUUGCAGACUUGGCUUGGAUCCGGCGUUGCUGUGGCUGUAGCACAGCUCUGAUUCGACCCCUAGCCUGGGAACUUCCUGCUGCAUGUGUGGCUCUAAAAA
rnacentral:lncRNA from 1 species